rnacentral:rRNA from 1 species
CUGACGCAGCCAUGCCGCGUGUAUGAUGAAGGUCUUAGGAUUGUAAAAUACUUUCACCGGUGAAGAUAAUGACUGUAGCCGGAGAAGAAGCCCCGGCUAACUUCGUGCCAACAGCCGCGGUAAUACGAAGGGGGCUAGCGUUGCUCGGAAUUACUGGGCGUAAAGAGAGCGUAGGCGGACAUUUAAGUCAGGGGUGAAAUCCCGGAGCUCAACUCCGGAACUGCCUUUGAUACUGGGUGUCUUGAGUGUGAGAGAGGUAUGUGGAAUUCCGAGUGUAGAGGUGAAAUUCGUAGAUAUUCGGAAGAACACCAGUCGCGAAGGCGACAUACUGGCUCAUUACUGACGCUGAGGCUCGAAAGCGUGGGGAGCAAACAGGAUUAGAUACCCUGGUAGUCCACGCCGUAAACGAUGAUUGCUAGUUGUCGGGGAGUUUACUUCUCGGUGACGCAGCCAACGCAUUAAGCAAUCCGCCUGGGGAGUACGGUCGCAAGAUUAAAACUCA